rnacentral:rRNA from 1 species
UACGUAGGGCGCAAGCGUUAUCCGGAAUUAUUGGGCGUAAAGAGCUCGUAGGCGGUCUGUCGCGUCGGCUGUGAAAACCUGGGGCUUAACUCCGGGCCUGCAGCCGAUACGGGCAGACUAGAGUUCGGCAGGGGAGACUGGAAUUCCUGGUGUAGCGGUGAAAUGCGCAGAUAUCAGGAGGAACACCGGUGGCGAAGGCGGGUCUCUGGGCCGAUACUGACGUGAGGAGCGAAAGCGUGGGGAGCAAACAGG